rnacentral:lncRNA from 10 species
UGGUUCAGGGAUAGGCCCUUAGUCCAAUCAGAGACCAUGAAAUGCAAUGAGGCUUUGCCUAGAAAUGCUGAGCUAAAGAUCUUCACUUUCUAUGCAGGUUUUGAAGCCAGGAGCCCCUCUUCUUGAGAUCUAUUGGCAACCAUCUUGUGAAGGAAGAGCCCAUUGUGUAGGAGGCAGAUGCUGGAGAAAAAGAGACAACAGGGCCGGGUUUUAUCAUUUGAGACUUGAGUAAAGUCAUACCGGAAGUCACACCCAGUCUACCCUGGGAAGCUUGGUUACAAGGGCCAGUAAAUUCCCUUUUCUUUUCUUUUCUUUUCUUUUUUUUCUUUUUUUUUUUUAAGAGAUGGGGGUCUUACUCUGUUUCCCAGGUUACUCUCGAACUCCUGGCCUGAAGCCCCCUGUCUCUGCCUCCCAAAGUUCUGGGAUUACAGGCUUGAGCUACUGUGCCUGACUAAAUUCCCUUUUUGAUUAAGCCUGUUUAGAUUAGGUUUCUUGUCAACCUGCAACUGAAAGAAUUAUCGCCAAUACAAGGUACAAAGUCCUGAAAGGCAGCUGAUCAGAAGGACCCAUUUUAUCUGCCACCACGUGUUUUUGGACAGUGUGCUCAGUUUGGGAUGUAACUUUGGUAGGUCAUGUUCAUUUGCCCUUACUUUACCAUGAAAUUAUUAAAGGGACAAUUGUCUGAUUUCUAUCCUAGCUGGUGGAGGGAUUGCUUUCUUGUUUUACCCACAUUGUAUAUAUAUUUUAUUUCAGAGUAGAUAGAUGGGAGGGAGCAUUUACAAUUCAUGUAAGUACUCAUUUUAGAGAUAAGAAAACAGAUCUAAAGAAUGAUAAUCAAUGUGUUGCACCUUCUUCAGUAUAGUAGUCCCUUAGUAUACAUGGGGAAUUGGUUCCAGGACCCCCACAUGUACCCCAAAUCUGCAGACACUCAAGUCCCACAGUCAGCCCUGCAGAACCUGAGUACGUGAAAAGUCAACCCUCCUUAUACAUGAGUUUACCAUCCCACCAAUACUGUAUUUUCCAUCCAUCUUUGGUUGAAAAAAGUCCACAUAAGUAGACCCCUGCAGUUCCAACUCCCGUUGUGCAAGAAUCAACUGUAAAAUGUUAUUGGAGAACAACAUGCCCAUUUCUUUAUGUAUUGUCUGUAACUGCUUACAUGCUACAAAGGCAGAAUUGUAGUAGUUUCAACAUAGACUGUAUAGCCUGCAAAGCCAAAAAUAUUUACUGUGUGGCCCAUUCAGAAAAAGCUUUUAAAUCCCUGCUCUAGAACUCAAGUCUCCCAAUUCUAUGAUGAAUUUACUUCAUUUCACCCAGUACUUACAGCACCUGCUGUGAGCUGGGCCUUCCAAAUGGGUAAGACAGCCCCAGUACCUACACUCCUCCAGGAGUAGCUCCAGCUCCAC